rnacentral:rRNA from 1 species
GACAGAGGGUGCAAACGUUGUUCGGAAUUACUGGGCGUAAAGCGCGUGUAGGCGGCGUGACAAGUCACUUGUGAAAUCUCCGGGCUUAACUCGGAACGGUCAAGUGAUACUGUCGUGCUAGAGUACAGAAGGGGCAACUGGAAUUCUCGGUGUAGCGGUGAAAUGCGUAGAUAUCGGGAGGAACACCUAUUGCGAAGGCAGCUCGCUGGGACGUAACUGACGCUGAGACGCGAAAGCGUGGGGAGCAAACAGG